UACAGAGGGGGCAAGCGUUGUCCGGAAUCAUUGGGCGUAAAGAGCGUGUAGGCGGCUCGAUAAGUCCGCUGUGAAAGUCCAGGGCUCAACCUUUGAAAGCCGGUGGAUACUGUGAGGCUAGAGUACGGAAGAGGCGAGUGGAAUUCCUGGUGUAGCGGUGGAAUGCGCAGAUAUCAGGAGGAACACCAAUAGCGAAGGCAGCUCGCUGGGACGUUACUGACACUGAGGCGCGAAAGCGUGGGGAGCGAACAGG
rnacentral:rRNA from 1 species